UACGAAGGGGGCUAGCGUUGUUCGGAUUUACUGGGCGUAAAGCGCAUGUAGGCGGGGCGUUAAGUCGGGGGUGAAAGCCCGGAGCUCAACUCCGGAACUGCCUUCGAUACUGGCGACCUAGAGUGAAGGAGAGGCGAGCGGAAUUCCGAGUGUAGAGGUGAAAUUCAUAGAUAUUCGGAGGAACACCAGUGGCGAAGGCGGCUCGCUGGCCUGUUACUGACGCUGAGAUGCGAAAGCGUGGGGAGCAAACAGG
rnacentral:rRNA from 1 species